AUUGAACGCUGGCGGCAGGCUUAACACAUGCAAGUCGAGCGGAGUGAUGGUGCUUGCACUAUUACUUAGCGGCGGACGGGUGAGUAAUGCUUAGGAAUCUGCCAUUUAGUGGGGGACAACAUUCCGAAAGGAAUGCUAAUACCGCAUACGUCCUACGGGAGAAAGCAGGGGAUCUUCGGACCUUGCGCUAAAUGAUGAGCCUAAGUCGGAUUAGCUAGUUGGUGAGGUAAAGGCCUACCAAGGCGACGAUCUGUAGCGGGUCUGAGAGGAUGAUCCGCCACACUGGGACUGAGACACGGCCCAGACUCCUACGGGAGGCAGCAGUGGGGAAUAUUGGACAAUGGGCGGAAGCCUGAUCCAGCCAUGCCGCGUGUGUGAAGAAGGCCUUUUGGUUGUAAAGCGCUUUAAGCGAGGAGGAGGCUCUCCUAGUUAAUACCUAGGAAGAGUGGACGUUACUCGCAGAAUAAGCACCGGCUAACUCUGUGCCAGCCGCCGCCGCAGUAA
rnacentral:rRNA from 1 species